CGCGUAGGCGGUUUUUAAGUGAGGCGUGAAAGCCCUGGGCUUAACCCAGGAGGUGCGUUUCAGACUGAAAAGCUUGAGGGCGAGAGAGGAAAGUGGAAUUCCUAGUGUAGAGGUGAAAUUCGUAGAUAUUAGGAAGAACACCAGUGGCGAAGGCGACUUUCUGGCUCGCACCUGACGCUGAGGCGCGAAAGCGUGGGGAGGCAAAACA
rnacentral:rRNA from 1 species